rnacentral:rRNA from 1 species
AGUGAACGCGGGCGGCGUGCCUAAUACAUGCAAGACGAACGGAAUUUAAAAGAGCUUGCUCUUUUAAAUUUAGUGGCGCACGGGUGAGUAAUAUAUAGCUAAUCUGCCCCUUGCUGGAGGACAACAGUUAGAAAUGACUGCCAAUACUCCAUACUCCUUUUUACCAUAAGAUAAAUCGGGAAAGAAUUUCGGCAAGGGAUGAGACUAUAUCGUAUCAGCUAGUCGGUGGGGUAACGGCCUACCGAGGCUAUGACGCGUAACUGGUCUGAGAGGAUGAUCAGUCACAUUGGAACUGAGACACGGUCCAAACUCCUACGGGAGGCAGCAGUAGGGAAUAUUGCGCAAUGGGGGAAACCCUGACGCAGCAACGCCGCGUGGAGGAUGACACUUUUCGGAGCGUAAACUCCUUUUGUUAGGGAAGAAUAA